rnacentral:rRNA from 1 species
UACGGAAGGCAGCAGUGGGGAAUAUUGCACAAUGGGCGCAAGCCUGAUGCAGCCAUGCCGCGUGUAUGAAGAAGGCCUUCGGGUUGUAAAGUACUUUCAGCGGGGAGGAAGGCGAUGUGGUUAAUAACCGCAUCGAUUGACGUUACCCGCAGAAGAAGCACCGGCUAACUCCGUGCCAGCAGCCGCGGUAAUACGGAGGGUGCAAGCGUUAAUCGGAAUUACUGGGCGUAAAGCGCACGCAGGCGGUCUGUCAAGUCGGAUGUGAAAUCCCCGGGCUUAACCUGGGAACUGCAUUCGAAACUGGCAGGCUAGAGUCUUGUAGAGGGGGUAGAAUUCCGAGGUGUAGCGGUGAAAUGCGUAGAGAUCUGGAGGAAUACCGGUGGCGAAGGCGGGCCCCUGGGACAAGACUGACGCUCAGGUGCGAAAGCGUGGGGAGCAAACGAGGAUUAGGAUAACCCGGU